GACGAAGGGGGCCAGCGUUGUUCGGAAUUACUGGGCGUAAAGGGCGCGUAGGCGGUUCUUUAAGUCAGGCGUGAAAGCCCUGGGCUCAACCUGGGAGUGGCGCUUGAUACUGAGGAACUAGAGAGUGGGAGAGGUUGGUGGAAUUCCCAGUGUAGAGGUGAAAUUCGUAGAUAUUGGGAAGAACACCGGUGGCGAAGGCGGCCAUCUGGCCCAUUUUUGACGCUGAGGCGCGAAAGCGUGGGGAGCAAACGGG
rnacentral:rRNA from 1 species